UACAGAGGUGGCAAGCGUUGUUCGGAAUUACUGGGCGUAAAGGGCGCGUAGGCGGCCUGCUAAGUCGAACGUGAAAUCCCCGGGCUCAACCCGGGAACUGCGUCCGAUACUGGCAGGCUUGAAUCCGGGAGAGGGAUGCGGAAUUCCAGGUGUAGCGGUGAAAUGCGUAGAUAUCUGGAGGAACACCGGUGGCGAAGGCGGCAUCCUGGACCAACACUGACGCUGAGGAGCGAAAGCCAGGGGAGCAAACGGG
rnacentral:rRNA from 1 species